GACGCCCUAGCUUAUCUGAUAAGAUGAUCUGUGACAUCUCGAUAUCUAAGGGUAAAGGAAGUUUGAUAAUAGAACAGAUACAGUGCAUGAAAUAAAUAAAAAUAUAUUUAUGCGAUGGAAAAAGACAUCCCUUACAAAAUAAUUUUAGGUUAAUACAUCUGAGACCAAGAAGAUGGUUGCCGAAAUAUGUAUAUACACAAAAC
rnacentral:lncRNA from 1 species